AUUUUAUGAAAUCUAUCUCAGGUGCUUGGCGUAAUAACUGUUAAUUGACUAAUAUUAUUCUAUCCAUUCUUAAAAGAUAAAUUCAAUUUAGAGAUGAUGUUAUCAAAUAAAAAGAGUAUCAUUUGGUUUGUCAAUUCAAGAUGCAUCCAAGAGAUGUUAAUUAUCAUUGUAUGACAACAAGGUGGAAUCAAACUAACCCGUGAAUUCGAGGAUAGCAUUAAAGCCACCACUUUGCAGGAAAUGAAUGGGAGUCGUCCACUUAAUAUCGCGCAAAAGAUGGCUCAGCAUAAUAGUCCAGACAUGAUGUAUAAUGUGAAGCCAAUGACGAAUCCCGCUAAGGAAAGAACGGCUAAAUGUGUACUGGAUCCUGUGUUGUUUACCACUGAGACCUUAUGAGAAAACUUCAGUUAAUAAAGAGUUGACGAAUCCAAAGCCAUCAAUGAGCAAUUGGUCCGGAAUAAAAUAAUAUUAUAAUAAAAAAUAUUAUUAUUAUUUUGUGAAACAGAUAUUUUCGAUUAUGUAUAUUAGCAUAUAUUAAUGAAAUUUUGAAAAAAAUAUUUUGAUUUA